GGAAAAUGGUGGCCACUGAAAAAGCCAAAAAACGUGGAAUGUGAAGGAAGCGUUAAAAGGUGUAACCUGCACAUUCAUGGAGAGCACAGCCACUACAGCGGCGUUUCUCCCAUGCUGCCUCUGUCUCAUCCUUCUGCUGUUGGCCUGAUCAUUGCUCAUGGCAGUGUCGGGGAAUCCAUUUCAGCUUCAAAGCCAGAUGUGUACGUUUCCUCAGAUGGAGGCUACAACUGGAUAUGUGCACUGAAGGGACCUCACCACUACAGCAUACUGGAUUCAGGUGGCCUGAUUGUGGCUGUGGAGGUUCGCCGAGAUCG